GAGAUACUCCCUCCGUCCGGAAAUAAUUGUCGGAGGAAUGGAUGUAUCUAGACGUAUUUUAGUUCUAGAUACAUCCAUUUUUAUGCAUUUCUUCGACAAGUAUUUCCGGACGAAGGGAGUAUAAA
rfam:Triticum aestivum genome assembly, contig: Triticum_aestivum_CS42_TGACv1_scaffold_177328_2DS